rnacentral:rRNA from 1 species
CCUACGGGAGGCUGCAGUGGGGAAUAUUGGACAAUGGGGGCAACCCUGAUCCAGCCAUGCCUCGGGUGUUAAUAAGGCCCUCGGGUUGUAAAGCACUUUCAGUGAGGAAGAACGCCUGGUGGUUAAUACCCAUCAGGAAAGACAUCACUCACAGAAGAAGCACCGGCUAACUCCGUGCCAGCAGCCGCGGUAAUACGGAGGGUGCGAGCGUUAAUCGGAAUUACUGGGCGUAAAGCGCGCGUAGGUGGCUUGAUAAGCCGGUUGGGAAAGCCCCGGGCUCAACCUGGGAACGGCAUCCGGAACUGUCAAGCUAGAGUGCAGGAGAGGAAGGUAGAAUUCCCGGUGUAGCGGUGAAAUGCGUAGAGAUCGGGAGGAAUACCAGUGGCGAAGGCGGCCUUCUGGACUGACACUGACACUGAGGUGCGAAAGCGUGGGUAGCAAACAGGAUUAGAUACCCGAGUAGUC